AGGAAUGUUCUGACGCACUGAUUCUGCUUGUUUUUCCCUCUAGGCGGCUGGCCACAGCGUGAAGUGCGGGGAAGGAACACCACGGUGAAGGCAACUCUGGCCGAUCCUCACCAAGCCGUUCGCAAAAGGAUCUUGGACUAUGGGGCACAAAGAAGCAAGUGGUUGGGCCAGAAGAAUGUUUCAACUCUGCGAUGAAGGUGCCCACUCCCUUCAAGGGAGUUCUGUCAUAACACCAUGUUCUGUGGAUUACAGUAAAAGAGAUCCAAGGCAUGGGGAGACUGAGGGAAUGGUGGAAUGAACCUCAGAGACUGAAAACAAAGCUGAAAAAGGCAGCCUGCUGUUCUGACUGUCCACAGAGGAGGUUCUGUUGGAGCUGGAAAUCUCUGUGGGUGUGAAUCUUGCUGUCCCCUCUAUGGCCAGUGGGAGGCGGUGUGUGCAGCCUGGUACGUGGACCCAGUCAGUGGUCGUGUGGGUAUUUGGCCGAUUAGACUACCUGCGUGUCAGAAAGAUGGCAACAGCAUUGCACGCCAUUGACAAAUGAAUCAGUGGCCUUUGCUAAAAAAAAAAAUAUUUUAUCCCUGACUUUAGUCGUUCUGCUUACUGCAGGCUUCAAGGAACAUUCAACGCUGUCGGUGAGUUUGAUACCCUGGGAGAAACCAUCGACCGUUGUUUGUACCUUGUAGCCUGUACCCUCCGACCAGCUCUGGCCACCGAGAAGGGCGUGACACCUCCCUCAGUAUUGUCGUGACUGCUGCCAACACGAUCCCGACAAGUGGAGAACCUGUAUAACAGGCUUGUGCAAAGGUCACAAUCAACAUUCAUUGCUGUCGGUGGGUUAAACUAUACUUUAAGACUCGCUGGACAAUGAAUGCAACUGUGGCCCAGAUUUCAGCAACGAGAGACUCUACCCUGGACCAGACACAGCUAUGGUAGGUAGUGACCCAAAGAAGAUGUACAAAGAUAACACUGAUGCAGAUUGUACGGGCUUGCAUAGAUGCACAAAAUCUCAGCAAUCAAUGCCAUUUGAUAUCUGAUUAUAAAAUCUUCAGUUGAAUGUAAUGUUUAAUAUAACUUUAACAAUGAAACUGCUUAACAAAUGUACUUAUAAGGAACUGCAGAUGCUGGGGGUUUACGAAAAAGGACAGAGUGCUGGAGUAACUCGGGGUCAGGCAGCAUCUGUAGAGGAAAUGGAUAGUUGACGUUUCACAGAGUUUUGGAAUAUUGGAGUAACUCAGCGGGUCAGGCAGCAUCUGUGGAGAACAUGGAUAGGUGACGUCUCAGGUCAGGACUGAAGUCUGGAGUUUAAAGAGGGUUCUGACCUGAAACGUCACCUAUUAUGAGCAGUUUGGGCCCUAUAACUGAGGAAGGGAUCUGCUGGCAUCGGAGAGGGUCCAGGAAGGUUUACGAGAAUAAUCCCAGGAAUGAGUGGGUUAACAUAUGAUGAGCGUUUGACGGCACUGGACGUCUACCCGCUCGAGUUUAGAAGAAUGAGGGGGGAUCCUCAUUGAAACUUACCAAAUGGUGAAAGGCCUGGAUAGAGUGGAUGUGGAGAGGGUGUUUCCACUAGUGGGAGAGUCUAGGAUUGGAGGUCAUAGCCCCAGAAUAAAAUCACAUACCGCUAGAAAGGGGAUAAAAUGACGUACCUUUAGAGGAAUGUCUUUAGACAGAGGGUGGUGAAUCUGUGGAAUUCAUUGCCACAGAAAGCUGUGGAGACCAAGUCAUUGGGUAGUUUUAUAGUGGAGAUUGACAUAUUCUUUGUUAAUAAGGUGUAUCAAAGGUUAUGGGGAGAAGGCAGGAGAAUGGGGUUGAGAGGGUAAAAUAGAUAAGCCAUUAUUGAAUGUCAGAGUAGACCCAAUGGGCCGAAUGGCCUAAUUCUGCCCCUAUGACAUGAACUAUGAACCAUCCAUGUUCUCCAGAGGUGCUGUCUGACCCACUGAGUUACUUUGAAACCUUGGUUGGGGUGCAAAGUCUCCAGAGGUUUCCGUUCAGGUUUCCUAAGUGGGACAGGGGCAUUACAUCGCCAGAGGCCCGGGUUCGAUCCUGACCACGGGCGCUGUCUGUUUCGGAAUUUGUAUGUUCUCCCCGUGACCUGCGUGGGUUUUCUCCGAGAUCUUCGGUUUCCUCCCACACUCCAAUGAUGAGCAGGUUUGUAGGUUAAUUGGCUUGGUAUCAAUGUAAAUUUCCCCCAGUGUGUGCAGGGUAGUGCUAAUGUGCGGGGAUCGCUUGUCGGCGCGGACACGGUGGGCAGAAGGGCCUGUGUCCAUGCUGUGUCUACAGUAAACCCUCGUUACACCAGACCAGGGGGUGUGGAGGAGAGGUGCCUGUUAUUGCCGAUUGUCCACUAUAACAGAACAAGGUAUCAUCAUUGUAUAAUGAUAUUUUAUCCUCACAUGUACCUAGGUACAGUGAAAUUCCCUGUUUGUGCAUAUAAUUGGUAACAUCACACAUAGGGUUCACAUCUGUCCCAUAUUAGCCGGGACAUCCUGUAUAUUGGGCUAAAUUGGUUUGUCCCAUACGGGACCGCCCAUGUCCCGUAUUUGACUGCGACUACUCGGGUCGAGGGGACCGUCGGGCCGGAGUGCCGUAUCCGGUCACGUCGGUCGGCCCCCAGGCCAGCUGUCCGACCCUGGGACCUUCGCUUACCGCCGACACCACCACCUCUCCUUCUCAUGGCCGAUCAUCAGUUUAUGAGUUGGACGGGGUGUUGGUCUUGGCGCACGGUGUUGCACGUCCCUGGCGACCAGGCCAAACCUCCUCAGCUGGCCCCGCUGGCUGGGCUUUGUGUACAGUCCAGCACCCGGGCCAACUCAUCAUUCACCCAGCCACCGCCAAGUCGGUCAACCAAUUGCCGUUGGGAACUUGUCCCCUAUUUUGACCUUUUAUCCCUUAUUUGGGAGUGAGAAAGUUGGCAACAUUAAUCACACAGCAGACGUCACCUAGACAGUACACACUCACUGCGUUUCUGGCACUGACCAAGUCACAAAACAGUCUGAUCUUCUUCUCGCUACGGUGAACCAGGCAUGCUACACAUUACUGGAGCCCCCCCUCCGUCUGCCCCCCCC